GCGACGGUUGUCCCGGUUUAAGCGUGUAGGCUGGUUUUCCAGGCAAAUCCGGAAAAUCAAGGCUGAGGCGUGACGACGAGGCACUACGGUGCUGAAGCAACAAAUGCCCUGCUUCCAGGAAAAGCCUCUAAGCAUCAGGUAACAUCAAAUCGUACCCCAAACCGACACAGGUGGUCAGGUAGAGAAUACCAAGGCGCUUGAGAGAACUCGGGUGAAGGAACUAGGCAAAAUGGUGCCGUAACUUCGGGAGAAGGCACGCUGACACGUAGGUGAAGUGAUUUACUCAUGGAGCUGAAGUCAGUCGAAGAUACCAGCUGGCUGCAACUGUUUAUUAAAAACACAGCACUGUGCAAACACGAAAGUGGACGUAUACGGUGUGACGCCUGCCCGGUGCCGGAAGGUUAAUUGAUGGGGUCAGCGCAAGCGAAGCUCCUGAUCGAAGCCCCGGUAAACGGCGGCCGUAACUAUAACGGUCCUAAGGUAGCGAAAUUCCUUGUCGGGUAAGUUCCGACCUGCACGAAUGGCGUAAUGAUGGCCAGGCUGUCUCCACCCGAGACUCAGUGAAAUUGAACUCGCUGUGAAGAUGCAGUGUACCCGCGGCAAGACGGAAAGACCCCGUGAACCUUUACUAUAGCUUGACACUGAACAUUGAGCCUUGAUGUGUAGGAUAGGUGGGAGGCUUUGAAGUGUGGACGCCAGUCUGCAUGGAGCCGACCUUGAAAUACCACCCUUUAAUGUUUGAUGUUCUAACGUGGACCCGUAAUCCGGGUUGCGGACAGUGUCUGGUGGGUAGUUUGACUGGGGCGGUCUCCUCCUAAAGAGUAACGGAGGAGCACGAAGGUUGGCUAAUCCUGGUCGGACAUCAGGAGGUUAGUGCAAUGGCAUAAGCCAGCUUGACUGCGAGCGUGACGGCGCGAGCAGGUGCGAAAGCAGGUCAUAGUGAUCCGGUGGUUCUGAAUGGAAGGGCCAUCGCUCAACGGAUAAAAGGUACUCCGGGGAUAACAGGCUGAUACCGCCCAAGAGUUCAUAUCGACGGCGGUGUUUGGCACCUCGAUGUCGGCUCAUCACAUCCUGGGGCUGAAGUAGGUCCCAAGGGUAUGGCUGUUCGCCAUUUAAAGUGGUACGCGAGCUGGGUUUAGAACGUCGUGAGACAGUUCGGUCCCUAUCUGCCGUGGGCGCUGGAGAACUGAGGGGGGCUGCUCCUAGUACGAGAGGACCGGAGUGGACGCAUCACUGGUGUUCGGGUUGUCAUGCCAAUGGCACUGCCCGGUAGCUAAAUGCGGAAGAGAUAAGUGCUGAAAGCAUCUAAGCACGAAACUUGCCCCGAGAUGAGUUCUCCCUGAGACUUAGAGUCUCCUGAAGGAACGUUGAAGACGACGACGUUGAUAGGCCGGGUGUGUAAGCGCAGCGAUGCGUUGAGCUAACCGGUACUAAUGAACCGUGAGGCUUAACCUUACAACGCCGAAGGUGUUU
rnacentral:rRNA from 1 species